rnacentral:rRNA from 1 species
ACUCCUACGGGAGGCAGCAGUGGGGAAUAUUGCACAAUGGGCGCAAGCCUGAUGCAGCCAUGCCGCGUGUAUGAAGAAGGCCUUCGGGUUGUAAAGUACUUUCAGCAGUGAGGAAGGCGGGUACGUUAAUAGCGUGCUCGUUUGACGUUAGCCGCAGAAGAAGACAACCGGCUAACCGUCCGUAGCCAGCAGCCGCGGGUAAUACGGAGGGUGCGAGCGUUAAUCGGAAUUACUGGGCG